rnacentral:tRNA from 1 species
GGGGCCGUAGUCUAGCCAGGUAGGACGACAAGCCCAAUCCAUAUGGGUUGGGCUCGUUAAGGGCUCCAGAUGCCGGAUGGCGACCGGGGGUAAGACUCGGAAAGAGGAUGAUGAGAAUUCUGGAGCGCUGGUGAAACCCGUCGGUCGCCGGUUCAAAUCCGGCCGGCCCCACCA